CUACGGGGGGCAGCAGUGGGGAAUAUUGGACAAUGGGCGAAAGCCUGAUCCAGCCAUGCCGCGUGUGUGAAGAAGGCCUUCGGGUUGUAAAGCACUUUCAGUGGGGAAGAAAGCCUUGGGGCUAAUACCCUCGAGGAAGGACAUCACCCACAGAAGAAGCACCGGCUAACUCCGUGCCAGCAGCCGCGGUAAUACGGAGGGUGCGAGCGUUAAUCGGAAUUACUGGGCGUAAAGCGCGCGUAGGCGGUCUGAUAAGCCGGUUGUGAAAGCCCCGGGCUCAACCUGGGAACGGCAUCCGGAACUGUCAGGCUAGAGUGCAGGAGAGGAAGGUAGAAUUCCCGGUGUAGCGGUGAAAUGCGUAGAGAUCGGGAGGAAUACCAGUGGCGAAGGCGGCCUUCUGGACUGACACUGACGCUGAGGUGCGAAAGCGUGGGUAGCAAACAGGAUUAGAUACCCUUGUAGUC
rnacentral:rRNA from 1 species